rnacentral:rRNA from 1 species
CUGAUAAGUCAGAGGUGAAAUCCUGCAGCUCAACUGUAGCAUUGCCUUUGAUACUGUUAGACUUGAGUUAUUGUGAAGUAGUUAGAAUGUGUGGUGUAGCGGUGAAAUGCAUAGAUAUCACACAGAAUACCGAUUGCGAAGGCAGAUUACUAACAAUAUACUGACGCUGAGGGACGAAAGCGUGGGUAGCGAACAGGAUUAGAUACCCUGGUAGUCCACGCCGUAAACGAUGUAUGCUAGUUGUUGGCCCUUUGGGGCCAGUGACGCAGUUAACGCGCUAAGCAUACCACCUGGGGAGUACGUUCGCAAGAAUGAAACUCAAAGGAAUUGACGGGGGCCCGCACAAGCGGUGGAGCAUGUGGCUUAAUUCGAAGAUACGCGCAGAACCUUACCAACACUUGACAUGUUCGUCGCGACUCUAAGAGAUUAGAGUUUUCGGUUCGGCCGGACGAAACACAGGUGCUGCAUGGCU